rnacentral:rRNA from 1 species
AGCAGCCGCGGUAAUUCCAGCUCCAAUAGCGUAUAUUAAAGUUGUUGCAGUUAAAAAGCUCGUAGUUGAAUUUCGGGAUCAAUAUAUUGGUCAUGCUUAGGUAUGUACUGGUAUUAUUGAUUUCUCCCUUCUGAAGAACCAUGAUGUCAUUAAUUUGAUGUCGUGGGGAAUCAGGACUGUUACUUUGAAAAAUUAGAGUGUUUAAAGCAGGCUUUCGCUUGAAUACAUUAGCAUGGAAUAAUGAAAUAGGACGUUUGAUUCUAUUUUGUUGGUUUCUAGGAUCGACGUAAUGAUUAAUAGGGAUAGUUGGGGGCAUUAGUAUUCAAUUGUCAGAGGUGAAAUUCUUGGAUUUAUUGAAGACUAACUACUGCGAAAGCAUUUGCCAAGGAUGUUUUCAUUAAUCAAGAACGAAAGUUAGGGGAUCGAAGACGAUCAGAUACCGUCGUAGUCUUAACCAUAAACUAUGCCGACUAGGGAUCGGAUGAUGUUAAUUUUUAAUGA